AGAACAAUGUAUCUUAUUUACACAGACUAAUAUCUAAACAAAUGUAUUGUAAUUUAAAGACCCAAUGCUGUGCGAAUUAUUGCUGUGGCUCUGGUAUACACUCAGACACACACCUCUAACAAUAAGGAGCUGCUAGAAAAGAGGGACAUUAUGAUACAAAAGAGGGACAGAGGGACUUGGGUUCAAAAGACGUACUGUCCCUCCUAAAUAGGGACCGUGGAUUUAUGUGAUUUUACAUUUUUACAAAGGUGUUAAUGGAAUAAGGACUCUACAUCAAAGAGAUAUUUUAUAAAACUUGUUCUUAAACAUAUGGGUUGUAACCACGGCCUUUUAUGUAGCCAUGUAAUGUAGAGAUGAUAUGUAACACAUCCUCACUAUCCUUUUAAAGACAGAAUAUCUUUUCAGGCCAUACACACAGUAUUCAGGUUUGAAUUUUGACCUAUCGCCUUGUUCCUUACUCAUUACUUGUGUUUGUGCUUCUUUGGUUGCCUUUCAAUAAUUUCUGAUUGUUAGAGAGUGUUUACAGAUGUUGAUCUUAUGAUGGAUCAUGUUGUACAUGUCUACAGUAUCGUUAUCUAAAAGUACAGUCAAACAGAUUAGUCUCUAUAUUCAGCUGUUAGAACAUACAAAUAUGUUCCCAUGCCUACUGUAUUGUUUUCAAUAGUAUAUUUACUUGAUACAUACUAAAAUGGAUAUUGCUAUAACUGUCAUAUCUACUGAGACGCUCCUCUCCCCACACCCCUUUCUAUCUUUCAUACAAUGACAUUUUAUUUCACAGUACUUUGUGUUGCUAAAGUACUUCCCACAUUAUUACAUCAUUACAGAAUUCCAGAAUGCUGCUUUUCUAAAAUCCUGCUCUUGCUAUUACUGUAAACCAACAGAAAACAGAAAUUGAGUGAUCCAUGCAAUAUUUUCUCCUAGAAUUGUUGUUAUUGUCUCCAUUGUAACAGGAGAUUUUGCUGACACCGCUGAACACCAGAAACUAGAUACUGCACAGCUCUUUCUUGAAGUAAAAGCUAUUUACCUAAAAGGUUCGUUUGGGGAGUAAUGUGCUCUUGUUUUUGGUCCAUAGAAAAUGAUACUCUUUAGAUGUUUUGUCCUGCCUGAGCUGUUGUCCUAUAUUGAACAGAAAUUAUGCUGUACUGCCCCAGAGAGAUUUAAGCAAAGCAUUUACCUGUAAUGUUCCGCUCACCAUCCAUUUCUCUAAUGAACAAUGUAUCGCCACCCACCUAACUGCUGUUGCCUAGAUGAAUUCUGUUGAUAAUCGACACACCAGCACAGUUACAUUAUCUUAACGUUUGUUUCCUGCCUUCUGCUGAUUUAUACCAUGCUGCUCGAUUUUACAAUUCUAAAACUGAAUUUAAUAAGUAUGUCUUACUAAUGUAACAAUAUCAAAGACAGAACAGUCUGAGGAAAGAUAUCUUCAUAUAGAUUCACCUAGUCCAUCUAUUUUAUGGAAAAAGCAGGUAUCCUCAUCUCUUGUUCAUAGAAUUUGUGUUCUAGCUGUAGCAGUAGCAAUGAAUUACAACCAGUUUUGGAUAGCAGUUUGGAUAUGUAUCAGCUUACUCUCUACUUGUCAUUUUCUCUGACUGGAAGAGAGAUGGAGGAAGAGAUACUGGUGUCAGUACUUGCCUUUCUACCCCUUUCUACCCCAAGCACCCAGUUCUAGACACUUUGUCAUCCGUCACAAACCUAGUAAUGAUUGGUAAAUAAUCUUAUAGCCUGUAGUGACUUUAGCUUUAUUCCUGG